UCACGAUAAUCCUACUUCCAG
rnacentral:siRNA from 1 species